ACUCAAAUGAAUAGACGGGGGCCCGCACAAGCGGUGGAGCAUGUGCUUUAAUUCGAUGCAACGCGAAGAACCUUACCUAGGCUUGACAUGGGGGUGUAAGUCUUGAGAAAUCAAGAACCUUCCGCAAGGAACGCCCUACACAGGUGCUGCAUGGUUGUCGUCAGCUCGUGUCGUGAGAUGUUGGGUUAAGUCCCGCAACGAGCGCAACCCUCGCCCUUAGUUGCCAGCGAGUAAUGUCGGGAACUCUAAGGGGACUGCCUGGUUUAACCGGGAGGAAGGUGGGGAUGACGUCAAAUCCUCAUGGCCCUUACGCCUAGGGCUAGACACGUGCUACAAUGGCCGGUACAGCGGGCAGCCAGCUGGUGACAGCGAGCUAAUCCCUCAAAACCGGUCUCAGUUCGGAUAGGAGUCUGCAAUUCGACUUCUUGAAGUUGGAAUCGCUAGUAAUCGCGGAUCAGCAUGCCGCGGUGAAUACGUUCCCGGGCCUUGUACACACCGCCCGU
rnacentral:rRNA from 1 species